UACGAAGGGGGCGAGCGUUGUUCGGAAUCACUGGGCGUAAAGCGCGUGUAGGCGGCCCAUUAAGUCUGAUGUGAAAGCCCGGGGCUCACCCCCGGAAGUGCAUUGGAAACUGAUGGACUCGAGUCCCGGAGAGGAGAGUGGAAUUCCUGGUGUAGCGGUGAAAUGCGUAGAUAUCAGGAGGAACACCGGUGGCGAAGGCGGCUCUCUGGACGGUGACUGACGCUGAGACGCGAAAGCGUGGGGAGCAAACGGG
rnacentral:rRNA from 1 species